UACGUAGGGUGCGAGCGUUGUCCGGAAUUAUUGGGCGUAAAGAGCUCGUAGGCGGUGUGUCACGUCGGCCGUGAAAACCUGCAGCUUAACUGUGGGCGUGCGGUCGAUACGGGCGGACUAGAGGUAUGCAGGGGAGAACGGAAUUCCUGGUGUAGCGGUGGAAUGCGCAGAUAUCAGGAGGAACACCGGUGGCGAAGGCGGUUCUCUGGGCAUUACCUGACGCUGAGGAGCGAAAGCAUGGGGAGCGAACAGG
rnacentral:rRNA from 1 species